rnacentral:rRNA from 1 species
GCCAGUGGCCAUAGAGAAGGGGAAACACCCGUUCCCAUACCGAAUACGGUAGUUAAGCCCUUCUUCGCCGAUGGUACUGCUUUCGCCAGAUUGUGGGAGAGUAGGUCGCUGCUGGCU